rnacentral:rRNA from 1 species
GGGUGAAAUCAUACCAGCAUUAAUGCACCAGAUCCCAUCAGAACUCCACAAUUAGGUGCGCUUGGGAUAGAGUAGUACUGGCAUGGGUGACCUCUUGGGAAGUCCUAGUGUUGCACCCU